rfam:Oryza glumipatula chromosome 8, whole genome shotgun sequence.
AAAAACUUAAUUCCUGGGUUUCCGUGUCCAACGUUUAACUGUCCGUCUUAUAUGAAUUUUUUUUAGGAUUAGUAUUUUCAUUGUUGUAAGAUGAUAAAAUAUGAAUAAUACUUUAUACGUGACUUAUGUUUUUAAAAAAAAUUUAUAAUUAUUUUAAAUAAAACGGAUGAUCAAAUGUUAGAUACGGAAACACAUACGGAAACACACACA